rnacentral:rRNA from 1 species
GACGAACGCUGGCGGCGUGCUUAACACAUGCAAGUCGAACGGAAAGGCCCUGCUUGCAGGGUGCUCGAGUGGCGAACGGGUGAGUAACACGUGGGUGAUCUGCCCCUUACUUUGGGAUAAGCCUGGGAAACUGGGUCUAAUACUGGAUAGGACCAUGCUGUAGGUGGUGUGGUGGAAAGAUUAGUUUCGGUAAGGGAUGAGCUCGCGGCCUAUCAGCUUGUUGGUGGGGUAAUGGCCUACCAAGGCGUCGACGGGUAGCCGGCCUGAGAGGGUGGACGGCCACAUUGGGACUGCGAUACGGCCCAGACUCCUACGGGAGGCAGCAGUGGGGAAUAUUGCACAAUGGGCGCACGCCUGAUGCAGCGACGCCGCGUGGGGGAUGACGGCCUUCGGGUUGUAAACUCCUUUCAGCCAUGACGAAGCCCUUGUGGUGACGGUAGUGGUAGAAGAAGCACCGGCUAACUACGUG